rnacentral:rRNA from 1 species
CAUUUUGUAGAAUUGUUCCAUGACAAUGGGGAUGAGCUUCAUUGUUGAGAGGAAAACAAUUCAAAUCACCAACUACGAUCCCUAAAUGAUCGCUCAAUGAUGUACGGGUGUAGAGUAGCCACGGUAUUUGCCUAGAGGCAACCACCCUUGAAAGAGUGCGUAAUAACUCACUGAUAGAACAUUCUUGCUCCAAAGAUGAACGGGGCCAAGCCUCUUAGCCUAGUUGUGUCAAGGAAGCGUG